CACGUAGGGGGCAAGCGUUGGUCCGGAAUCAUUGGGCGUAAAGAGCGUGUAGGCGGCCCGGUAAGUCCGCUGUGAAAGUCCAGGGCUCAACCCUGGGAUGCCGGUGGAUACUGUCGGGCUAGAGUCCGGAAGAGGCGAGUGGAAUUCCUGGUGUAGCGGUGAAAUGCGCAGAUAUCAGGAGGAACACCAAUGGCGAAGGCAGCUCGCUGGGACGGUACUGACGCUGAGACGCGAAAGCGUGGGGAGCAAACAGG
rnacentral:rRNA from 1 species